GAUGAACGCUAGCGGCAGGCCUAACACAUGUAAGUCGAGGGAUAAGCCUUCGGGCUAAGACCGGCGCACGGGUGCGUAACGCGUAUACAAUCUGCCUUUUAUCCGGGGGAUAGCCCGAAGAAAUUUGGAUUAAUACCCUAUGGUAUAAGAGCACGGCAUCGUGCACUUAUUAAAGCUACGGCGGUAAAAGAUGAGUAUGCGUUCUAUUAGCUAGUUGGAGAGGUAACGGCUCCCCAAGGCGACGAUAGAUAGGGGUUCUGAGAGGGAUGUCCCCCACACUGGUACUGAGAUACGGACCAGACUCCUACGGGAGGCAGCAGUGAGGAAUAUUGGACAAUGGUCGGAAGACUGAUCCAGCCAUGCCGCGUGCAGGAUGACGGCCUUAUGGGUUGUAAACUGCUUUUGUAAGGGAAGAAUAAGGAGUACGUGUACUUUGAUGACGGUACCUUACGAAUAAGCAUCGGCUAACUCCGUG
rnacentral:rRNA from 1 species